AAAAAAAAAACACAAAUCCUUAUCUCAUUUUAUAAGUAAACCACUAAUUUGUGGUUUUCCUGCAUGCAUACAUGUUGGGUAUGAUUUCCUGAGUGUUUCUGUAAGCUAGAUUAUGGAUAACAAAGUCACCAAGUUUUCAUACUUUCGUAAUUCCGAAGGCCUGUGAACUUUGCAACAUAUCAUGGUCUCAGUUGUUAGGAGGGUGUCUUCACAAGAAUUUCCAUGUUUUAUUCUCUCAGCAUUUUUGGCGUUUUUGUAGCUUGUACUCAUCUAUCCACAAAAAAGGUAAGUGCAUUAAUUUUCAUUUUUCCAAUUCUUGCAGUAAAUACCGAUACGAACAACAAAAGAAAAAAAGAGAUCAACAGAAGAAAAGUGCUGCCAGUCGUAUGGAUAUGAAGGAGCUCAAAAUGGGGUAGGAUUUUUCUCCAAUACUAAUCCUAUAUAUGUUUAACCUUCAUCUUUCUCUAUUAAUCUAGUAUUAUUCCUUCCUAGCUUGUUAGAAUGUUGUAUCAUUUGGCAAAAACUCACGACAUGCUUUAAUAAGCAUAUCAAAGCGGACAUCCUCAUUCUGACCAUUGGAUAGAGAGUAAAUGGUCUAGAUUAGCCAUAUGUUAAAUUUCAGAGCCCCCUGUAUUUCUAUGUUCGCCUAUGUAUCUCUGAACCCUACUUCACACUCUCCUGUGGUCAAAAUUUUAAGCUCUAUUUUGCCACUUGUGAAACUCCCUUUUUGCUGAAAUUUGAUAUUUAAGCAGGGGACCAUGAUAUUUUUCUCUUGCCCGUGAAGCUGGUAGCUGUGUUUGAUUGCAAGGUGUUAGAAAGCAUCGUAGGAGAGGGAGGAGACUGCAAGAUAGCGCAGACUCCUCCCCACUAUAAAGUUAGUUCCCCAAUUGGGGUAGGAGUCUUAGUACACUAGGACUUGUGGUAAUUUACUAAUUAGAUUAAUUAGUUGUUAGCUAAUUAGUUUCCAGCUAAUUAGUUUCCUAGUUUGUUUCAUAUUCCUAGUCAGAGUAGGACAGCUGUCCUACUACUAUUGUAGUUGAGAAUUAUCUAUUUAAGACGGCAGUCCAAUCUACAAGAUUGAGUCUGCCCACCGUAAAAGGCUCUCACUCUCUUCUCUCUCGGUCUCUCUCCCUCUCUUUUACUUAUUCUAUAUUUUCUACAUGGUAUCAGAGCUUGUCUGAUCCACACAAUAACAAUCGGUCCUACUUUCUAACCUCCUAGUUAGAAAAAAAGAAAAAAGAAAAAAAAGGGUCUACGACUUCUGGUCUCUCUCUAAGAAUCUCGCGUCUCCUUUAAGGGGGUGUUUUUCAUCCCCUAGUUGGCUGAGAAUGGGAAUGGAGGACUGAAUGUGAGAAUCUGUCAUAUGUGUUAAAAGAGGUGACUCAAAUUAGUAGAAGAGAGUCUGGUUUUGGAAUUCUUUUGGAUUGAAGAAAUUCUGGAUUUCCCUUUGAAUCGAUCUCCAGAAAAUAGGCCAAUCGAAGUCAGAUCUGUUCAAGGUUUUGCAGGCUGAUUUAGUACCUUCUAAAGAGCCUUCGAUCCUUAGCUGAAGGAUAUCUGAGGACCUCUGCUGCUGGAAUUGAAGAUUACUGCUGUUUUCUCUCUCUUCAAGACCUAGAAUCAAGAAGUUUAAGAACUUUGUAUCUGACCAUCAGAAUCUGCCAAGAUUUAUUGGUUUUUGUUGCCUAUAAAAGAGCUACACCCGACCCAAUUUUCAGCCCAAACUGAAGUGUGCAAGUCUCAACCGCAACUGCCCAGGUUAACUCCUAUCGCAGGUUCUCUCUCCUCAUUCUUUGGGUCUGUUUUUUUCAUAAUCUGGGUGAAAUUGUAGAGUCUAUCUCUGAUUAUGUUGUGCUAAUAUUUGGACCUAUUUAGUGCCAAUAUCAGGGGACUAGUUUGAGUACCAUUGAGGGUACUAUUUCUGAUUUUUUGGGGACUGUUCUGAACAGUACUUUGCUGUUAUUUGACGUACUGUUUGGAGUAUUUUUGAGGACUGUUUUGAACAACUUUGGGGGUACUUUUUUGAAGGAAC